GGGUGCCAGGGCUCGAGCCAUGGCAGGUUUCCAGGUUGGUCGGGCCGCCAGCC
rnacentral:ncRNA from 12 species